UGGUUUCAGCAAAUGUGCGAGCGUGGAGCUGGGCUAUUGCAGUAUGUUUGGAAAGAAAGCGUUUCUGCAUAUUUAAAGUUAUCUCCGUGCAUGGAGCAUCCUGAUCCUGUGAGCUUGUAGAGGGAGAAUCUUUCAGUAGGCCAUGGUGUCUGUCUUUCUCUCCAGCUCUCUGUUACUGUUUGUUUAUCCCGGUGCUGCCUUUUAGAAAGGCCUCUAUCUCUGCUGAAUAAUAGAGAGCACAGCAAGAGAUUAAAGCAUUAUAAAAAUGCCAUUUGUGAAAAUCCAUCAGGAACAGCCUGUAUUUUACAUAAGUAUCUACAUUAAUGAACUGCAUUUACAUACUGGAGGAUUCCUGAUAGUCUCUGCAUCUCACCCCAAGGAGCCUGAGCCCAACCCCAACAAGCCCUUGCAGCCCAUGCAGUCCUCUGUUCGCUUUUCAUUUUUGGAGGUAGAAGAGUAUCUAACCUUUAAGACACAUAAUGAUGGGAAAUCCACUGUGUUCUGGUGGCUAAGGUGAAAUAAUGCAAACCUGUGCUUUCUCAUCUGACUCCCACAGUUUGAACCUCUACUUCUAAUAUGUGUGAGUGAGGGACAGGAUAGAGUUUGCUAUGCCUACAUCCUGUGUAUUCCCAAAAAUCUCCUCAUCCUGUGGAUACAUAUACCAGAUGACAAAGGUACUCCUAUAGCCUUGGAUAAAGUGAAUAAUUCAAGCUUUUCAAGCUGCAUACUGUGGUUCAGCAGGUCAUUCCUGUAUUAUUUUUGAAAAUACUCUAGCCUCCCAGUCCUCAUCUCCUUACUCCAGUGAGGGAUUUUCCUGCUUGUGUAUCUGUGGGAAGUGUAUUCUUUUAACUAUACUGUCACAUAAGGAGCUCUUAUCUAGUUGUGUACCUGUGGGAACACUUAAAAUUCUUCGCGUUGUCCCUGCCUUCUACAUUUCUACCUUACAUUAUGUCCUUUUUUUUUUUAGUGACUUCAAGUCUAGUAAUAACAAUGUCUGGUGUUCAAACAAGGCCACUUUAUCCAAUGAUAAACCAUCUUGUUCCUGUCAUUAUUUACCUCUUUGGUCUCAUUGGCUCGGAAAAGUAUUACAUUUUUUUCCAGAUCACUGAUAGCAGUAUCGAACGGUAUUAAAUGAAGAACAUAUCCCAAUAUGAUCCACAGGAAACGUUUAAUGUGUAGUUAUUUUUUGAAAUCUCUCUAUUGGUAAAUGUUAGUGUUUCCUGUAUCUUGCAUAAAUUUUUGCAUUCUACUAAUUAACUUAUUAAAGCAUUAUGUGGAAAUAGGUUGAAUGUUUUACAAAUGUCUCAGUGAAUUGUUAACUCAAGUGUUUAUUAAUCAGGCUUGGAAUCUCAUUUUUAAAAAGAUCUGUUUGGGCAGACUGGCUUUUGUGUAAAACUGUGUUAAAUGACACUAAGUAUGCUGCCAUACCUGAAUUCAUUACUAAUGGGAGCGAGUAUCCUGUUUAUUCUUUUAAAGGAGUGCUAUGACAUGAUGGCUUAGUUUCAGUAUUGUAGAAUUUCUAGAUAUUCCAAGACUCUCUGAAAAUAGCAAUAAUUUUGGCUGAGUGGCUCAGCCAGUUCCUUCAUUACUCUUUGGAUAAUAGUUAUCUGUCUAAAAAGGCACAAUUAAAACAAAACAAACUCCUCCCAGCACAUCUGCAGCCUUUGCUGUAAUCUAAUGUCCUUCCAAAUUAUUGAUAGAAGGAGAGGUAUUUAUGUUACAUUAAGCUGUGUUAACAUACUCCUACAUUCUGAAGAAUACAGAAAAGAUGUGUUAAGGCAAGAAUUACUUUUACCUUUUUUCAUCAACCUUUUAUGAAUUUACCUUCCUAAUCCAGUGUGAGGCCUGUACUAUUUGUUAGGAUUUUGCUAGUUUUAGCAUACUGAAGGAACUCUUUAUUGUUUGUACUGUUACUGGUAAACUUCUUUCAGUGUGUAUCUUGUCAUAAAGCUGUUGAGAUCUGAACAGUUUGGAAUGCUUUUGAGCAAUGAUUCCAGAGCGUUUUUCAUGUUUUGAAAAACUCCAAUGUGUAUUGACUUAAUUAUCAGAGUGAAGAAGCUAAGCUAGAUAAUUUCUGCAUUGGAUUAUUAUAUGCAAAAUAUUAAUUUAGUAUUGGUGUUGCAUUUUGGUUUUAAAGAUACACUGCCUAUCUUUCUAAGUGUUUAUGGUAGUGUUUAAAAUCAGUAAUUAGUACUGUAUAAUUAAAACGUUUCUGGAGAAUAUUUCUGUUGCUAUUUAUCACCGAAAGUAAAUGUUGACAUAUUGAAAUCUUUUUGCUUAUGUAUUGAAUAGAAAUCUUUCUCAGAAAAGAUUCCUUUUGUAAGUUUGCUUUUGGAAAUGUAAUUUUCCUUAAAGUGAGGGUGGAUUGGACAGCUUUUCUGACUUGUGUGACGUUUUUAUCCUCAGGUGAAUAUAAAAGGGAAAGCUUAAUGAUCCUUAUCACUUGCUUUGCUAUGGGAUACCUUAUGUAAUGCUUUGAUAAAUAAAACUCCUCAGCCAAGUUACAUACAUUAUGAGUUGCCUACCAUAAGUGAUCAAGUUGCCUGAGCUGCUUUUUGUUUUGGGAGUGGCUGUAUAGCUGAAAACCAAGUGACACCAAGGGGUGUUAAGGAUGUGCUUGCAGGUUCUCAUGUUGUAUUUUAUAUAGUUUUGGGACACCCACAGAAUUAAAUUAUUUCAUUUGAUUAUCAGUAGCAUUCUGUUGCAGGGAAACAUAUCUUAACUGUCAGAUAUGCAUUCAGAAGUGUGACGUGGAUUUGUGCCUAACAACUUUGUUUCUAUGUAUUUUGGAGCAGAGUUAUGCAAUUUAUUUAUUUAUUCUUUGUCUAGUUCUACAUGGCAGAGGUAGGUAACUAAAUUGUGCUGGCUCACUGGCUGUUGAGCCUGUAUUUGUUGAGUUGUUGCAGAGAUAAACAAUAUACUGUCUGAAUUUAGAGUGAGAGAGGCUCCAGUUGAAUGGAUAGGUGCUGCCAAAGGAGUGAUCCCGCUGCCCCUGCCUGUCUGCCUCAUUAUUAACUCCCUUCUGAGCCUGGUGCUGGGCCUCACUGAACUGAAAAUGCUGGCUAAAUGGGGAGAGAGGGUGGAUCCGUAGACAGCAGCUGUGCAGUACCAGUUUGAUUUGCUUGCAAAACCUCACUUUCCCUGGAGAUGUUUGCUCUGAAAUUCGGCAUUUCUGUGGCAUGGAAGGUCAAACUGCAGGCACCACUGUGGAAGCAACGUUGUUUGUUCAGAGGCGUUAUGAAGUCUUCAUCCUUGUGUUGUGCUCUUUAGGAUAAGGCCUGUGUUUCCCUUUAUGAAGCAUAUUCCUUCAUGUAAGGUUGUUGUGGAACAAUGUUGGACUUUUCACAACUACUCCCUUCAUUUGCACACCUUCAGCAAAGUCUCAGUUCAGCCUCCUUACGCAUAUGUCCACCCAGCACUUCAAAAAAAUACUCAAGUCUUUGCCUUUGAGCUGGUGUCUGAAACAGUCUAACUAGUUAGCAGGACUGUUUGUGUCUGUGCAUGGUAAGGUAAGAUGAAAUUAAGCUUGAAUUCACAAGUCAUGGGAUUCUGGGAGCUAUUGCUUGUUGAGUAGUAGUAUGUGCAGGGUCUGGAGAUGGAAUUGUAAGGGUUUUGACCAUCAGAAGCCACAGAUUGAAAUGACCUGUGUUCUGUCGCCAUAAGAGGACAGAAAUGUUCACCUUGAAUUACUUCCUUCUGUUCCGCACAUGGAAAAAUCCAACUUGUUAGAUCAUGAAACAUACAUACAGUAGCC